rnacentral:rRNA from 1 species
ACACAUGCAAGUCAAGGGGGCCCGCAAGGGUAACCGGCGAACGGGUGCGUAACACGUGAGCAAUCUGCCUAGAAUGUGGGGAUAGCCGGCCCAACGGCCGGGUAAUACCGCAUACGCUCGCUUACCGGCAUCGGUGAGCGAGGAAACUUUNCGAGGCAUCUAGAGGAGCUCGCGGCCUAUCAGCUAGUUGGUGGGGUAACGGCCUACCAAGGCGGUGACGGGUAGCUGGUCUGAGAGGAUGGCCAGCCACAUUGGGACUGAGAUACGGCCCAGACUCCUACGGGAGGCAGCAGUGGGGAAUAUUGCGCAAUGGCCGAAAGGCUGACGCAGCGACGCCGCGUGGGGGAUGAAGCAUUUCGGUGUGUAAACCCCUGUUGCUCGGGACGAACAAGCCUUUUCGAGGGCUCUGACGGUACCGAGUGAGGAAGCACCGGCUAACUCCGUGCCAGCAGCCGCGGUAAUACGGAGGGUGCGAGCGUGUCCGGAAUCACUGGGCGUAAAGGGC